AGUGGGGAAUAUUGGACAAUGGGGGCAACCCUGAUCCAGCCAUGCCGCGUGUGUGAAGAAGGCCUUUUGGUUGUAAAGCACUUUAAGCAGUGAAGAAGACCUAACGGUUAAUACCCGUUAGCGAUGACAUUAGCUGCAGAAUAAGCACCGGCUAACUCUGUGCCAGCAGCCGCGGUAAUACAGAGGGUGCAAGCGUUAAUCGGAAUUACUGGGCGUAAAGCGAGCGUAGGUGGCUUGAUAAGUCAGAUGUGAAAUCCCCGGGCUUAACCUGGGAACUGCAUCUGAAACUGUUAGGCUAGAGUAGGUGAGAGGGAAGUAGAAUUUCAGGUGUAGCGGUGAAAUGCGUAGAGAUCUGAAGGAAUACCGAUGGCGAAGGCAGCUUCCUGGCAUCAUACUGACACUGAGGCUCGAAAGCGUGGGUAGCAAA
rnacentral:rRNA from 1 species